rnacentral:rRNA from 1 species
UACGGAGGGGGCAAGCGUUGUUCGGAAUUACUGGGCGUAAAGGGCGCGCAGGCGGCUGCUCAAGUCAGGCGUGAAAGGCCUGGGCUCAACCCGGGAAUUGCGCUUGAGACUGGGCUGGCUUGAGUGCGGGAGAGGAUGGUGGAAUUCCCAGUGUAGAGGUGAAAUUCGUAGAUAUUGGGAAGAACACCGGUGGCGAAGGCAGCCAUCUGGACCGCAACUGACGCUGAGGCGCGAAAGCAUGGGGAGCGAACGGG